CUCGUCCACCGCCUGACAGGGUAAGAAUGUACUCAUCGACCGAAUUUCUCAAGCUGAUUGCUGAGAACGACUUUCGGCUCUUGUACGAGAAGAGUGCGCCUCACGAUGUUUGGAUCGUAACGCCGGAGGGAAAACGGGUCCAAAUGUUCGAGGCCAAUGGAAGGUAUCCGACGACCCUUAGAAUUCCGAAGACCAUGCUAG
rnacentral:misc_RNA from 1 species